UGCAUAAUUAAUAAUUAAAUGCAUCUUCCACCUCCUCUUUCUCUCACAAUCAGUUCGCUCUCUCAAAUCGGUCGAGUUUCAGUAGAUAUCAUUUCCUAAAAAAUCACUACCUCCCCAUUUUGAAGGAAGAAUUGUCCAGCAAAUAAAUAUGGUAACUACAAGUCAAGACAUUUUGGAGAAGAAACGAUGUCUCAAAUCUCCAGAGCAAACCGGUGUUUCGAUACCAAAGAAAUUUUUCUUUUGGCCAAACUGGACGGCAGUUGAAUUAAGAGAUCUUGAACAUGAAUUAAAUGAAACGAAGAGCCUUUUGGAUAAGUACCCAUUGGAUUCCUGGGACAAACAUACGCGACAAAUGAACACAGCAGGUCAAGUGGUUCCAAUGGUGAGGAAGGAGUUUCAUCCCGAAUUUUGUAGCCAAGCGUGGUGCAAAAUGUACGAGUGUCUCAGCGCUUUUUCUCUGGUGCCUGAACACAUUAUCAAGGCUGCUGCUAAAUCAGGGGGAAAAGUAAUUCCACGUUUUUUCUCCGUACAUUUGUGCGAAGCCCCCGGUGGAGCCUUCGUAUCCGCAACCAACCAUUUCCUAUCGACGAAUUAUCCUAGCAUUGAGUGGGACUGGCUCGCAACCACCCUUAAUCCAUACUACGAGGGAAAUAGUGUUCAGACUGCGAUGAAUGCGGAUUACUUGACGUUUACUUCUUUGAAUAACUGGAUUUUUCUAAAAGACACGACCGGGAACAUUAUGAACAGGAAAAACUUGAACAGUCUGAUUGAGCAAGUCAAACGUAGAUGUAUCGGUUCGGAUCAAUAUGUCGAUUUGGUCACUGCGGACGGAAGCAUUGAUUGUCGGACGAAUCCCAUGGAACAAGAGAGCGAUGCAAUAGAGCUACAGUUCGCUGAAAUGAUUGUUGCCCUCUCAAUUUUGGGUACCGGGGGAAGUUUUGUACUAAGAAUGUCCACCUUUUUAGAUUGUCAAUCAGUUUCUCAGUUGUACAUUCUGUGCUGCUUAUUUAGAGAGGUACAUCUAUUCAAACCAGCCACGAGUAAUGAGGACAAUUCCGAAGUUUAUGUCGUUUGCUUAAAGUACAGAAGUCGUCGACAAUUUAGAACUCAAUUGGACAUACUAAUUGAAUUAUUGGGGACAAAGACGUCCAUUUUGAGACAUAAGGCGAUGAUAAAUAAGGACCUCUUGUUCUUUCAUGCAUUCAUGAACACAAUUCUUGACGCUGCAUCGUUCUUCACCGAACUCCAAAUUACCGCUAUAAAGCGGUAUAUAAAAACUUGGGAGGAUAAAAACGGACUAUCUUUAGCCAUCUAUCAGCACGAGCUAAUCCAACGCGAGGUCGCAUUUAAUUGGAUCAAUCGGUGUGAUGUGAGGUCUCUCCCAGACGACAAGUCUCUAAUACCUUUGCAGCUUCAUACUAAUAUUAUGGAGAUGGAUCCUAGAUUUGAGAUUGAGAGUUAUGAAGAUAAACCCAUAUUGUUUCAAUCGACAAGUUUAUUUGAAAAAAUUGAAGAAAUCCAGCAACAAGUUGAACAUUACCAGAGUUUUGAGAGUCUGUCCUGGGAAGUGUCUGAAAUAUCGGGGUCAAUUUCCCAACUCUCCCCUCUCGUGGGUCGUCGGUAUAGCGACAUCUUGAGCUCUCGUUUCUGUUUGGGGAACGUCCUUGACAUGCGAAGCAAAUUGAGAGCAGCGGUCCGUCCCGUGCGGUCAUUGAUAUGCUAUAAAAUUUGGAUGGCUGGGCGCAAGCAGUGUGAUACUUGUAAUCCUGACAGUAUUCGGUCUCAUUUUUCACGCGUAUUAACUGACCUGCCCGAACUUUGUUCUGAAACAGAUUGGGAAUUUAGCUUGCUCUGUUGUGCAGAAACAGUUAACAACAUCUUAGACUAUUCUGAUGUCCAACGAACGCAAAGUUGCCUGCGUAAAUUGCUCCUGGCAAUUACUGGACUUAAAAUUAACCAAUCCUUGUUCCUCUGCACAUUUCCACUUUUGUCAAGACUUCAACUGGGGUUCAUUUAUGCAUUGAAUUCGAUUUUCAAAAUGGUGGUACUCGGCACAGGAGGGAACGCGUACAGUUCGGAAUACCCACAGGGAAUUCUCCUGCAUAGAUAUCGAGGCAUUAAUUCCCCCCGAGAUCGAAAGCUUAUGAUGGAAUUGGUCCGUAUUGUCAAUAAGAUGAACAAGGGCAAAAAAUCAGGUCAUGGUGAAACCAUACUGGAAAUAGUACCAGCUAAGAACUUGAUUGAGUUAGCAAACUUGAAGAACAUAUUGCAUUACAACAUGACCAACACUACAAACGAAUUGUGUCAAAUUAUAACGGAAACCAAAGAUGUCAUCAAACACCCAGAGGAAUGUGCAGAAGCUGAUGAACAAACUUCACAUACACCUUUAACUCCCAUCUUGGAAAACUGAUAUGCCCUGUGAUGCAAAUAACCAUCACCCUGUCGUGGAGUCGUUUGGAUAUUUUAGUCCUUCUUAUCUCCUGGAGUUGACACCUUAUCUUGAGAAAGCUCCGAGUGCUUGGCGAAGCGAGCGUCCCUGCGAGCAAGGCGUCGUACAAAGCCUACUUAUGGAGCCACGACUGAGGGUUUCUGCUCAUUCUCUCUCUCGCAACCGUCGAAGUAUAAAGGUCAAAAAAAGUGCUCUCUCGAUCUUGCUCUUUUUCUCCCCAAGUUUUGAGCUGAAUUUAAAAGUUGCAUCUACUUUGCUAGAAACUUGAAGAUUUCUUGCCAUGGCGAAAACACGAUCUUCUGGACGAGUUUUGCGAUGUCGUGCAAAGUCGUGCGGGAACGCAGACUGUUGUGUCGAUGUAGAAAAGUCGGUUCUGAAGUCGACGAAAAGGGAAACAAAUCAAAAGGCAGCAUCAAUUAUUAAAAGACCUUCGACGUCAAGACCCAGCUGUACUUUUCAACGUCGAAGUUUCACUUCUGCUCGUAAAAUCAAAACAUGGCGAUUUGUUGAUUUGGCAAAGUCUAACCCUGGGCAAUAUGGAGGUUUUGGAACGGUGAAAUGGUUUCGGUCAUGGACAAACUUCAUCGAUGAGCCAGGGGUCAUCCACCAAGAAAAUGUGAUGAUCUGGUUUGCGCAAUUAAAUGAAACUUUUCGUAAUUCGCAAUAUGGGAACUCCGAGACGGCAAAGCAAAACAGUCAGCCGACCACAAAGCAACAGAUCAAGAAAGAAAGAUCCUCAUCGAGAAACGAGGAAAAAUUAUUCUUGAAAAAAGAGGAAGCAUCGUCCUUGAAAAAAGAAGAAAACCCGUCCUUGCGAAAACAGGAAAAAUCAUCCGUGCAAAAGGAGGAAGAAUCUUCCCUGGGAAAGAAGGAAAAAUUGUCCAUCCAAAAAGAAGAAUCGCCCUUGAAAAAAGAAGAAGACACGCCGACUGUAAAGAAGGAAUCGCCAGCAAUAAAGGAGGAAUCGCCAAAAAUAAAAGAGGAACGAAAAUCAUCGUCGUCCUUGGAUGAUGAGGGAAUCUCCAUUCAGCUGUCGGCUUCUACUACGGAUGUAUCUCACGCAGACCAGGCUGAUGUCGAGAGUUUGAACCCAUUAACGGCACCCCCCGAAGAUUCUUACACGUACUUUGCCGUAGUUCCGGAUGACCAAUAUACCAUAAUUGGCGGUCAAGUCAUUGAGGACUUAACUCACCUAACAAGAUUUAUUGGGGACGACCAUAGUGCUGCUUUGGCUUGCUACCAGCUAAUCCACGCAGGCGAAGAAGGCUUCAAUUUUGGACAAGGCGCCGAGACUAACUCCGAACCAUACUUUGGACAAGUAGCCGACACUAGUUCCGAACCAGAUUCCGGAGUUGGUGUAUCCUUCGCAGAGAGUAACGAUGACCCGUUUUUGAAGAUUGUACUUGAGGAAUUAGAUAAGUACUUUGAAGGGGUUUCCGCCGAGGAAAUUAUUAAAAUGGUGGCAAACUGUCAGCCAUGAUUAAGUAAAUGCUAUUUCUACUAAUUACUUUGAAAAUUUAAGAUUAAUGACAUAAAGUAAUUAUUAGUAGAAUAGUUGAAAUGUACAAAUAUUCAGGGUUUUAAAAGUAACAAUAUGAAUUUUAUUAGUCUUAAACCACUGAUGUUCUAUUAUUUCUAACAAACACAAUCAAUUUGACAAUAAAAUGAACUAAAUAUUGAUCGAUUUACUUAUAAAUUUAAUGUGAUUUAAGCUGUUUUAUUUUAAAAUUCAUUAUUUGCAUAGUCAGCAUUAACUUAAUGUCCACUAACGUAUAGUGUAUCAAAACAAGCGCAUUUUUCAUAAACCGAAUGGGCAGUCAUGUAUGUAAACGCGACGCGUAUUCAUUUUGGGAGCCGAUUCAUCCGCGUGUAAAGUUCGGGAACAUUGCUCUCCUCGGCAUAAAGGCUAUUUGUCAAAAACGGGUGAAAUUUAAAUUGUCCCAUUUACACCAAAAUUCUCCAGCAUGACCACGGGAGUCGAUCCCAACUAUUUUUGACCGUGUCGACACAUUCUUGGCGAAAAUUCUGAAGCUUUUGGCAUGCGCUGAUUGAGGUGAAAUUUAUUUUGUAGGUCAUACAGAAAUGGGGAUCACGUUAAAAAUAAAAUUAACUAAAUAGAAUAAAUAGAGUAACUUGUAUUUAUAUUAAAUUUUUAUUGAAUAAAAACUCUUUCUUAUUUGAACUUUAUUAACCGAUUUUGUAAUAAUGUCAUUCAUACUGCAAUGAAGUUUUACCUUUUUUUAUGCGACAAACUAUUAGCAGUGUGGAUAGAAUUUGAAUCGUCUUCAAAUCUAAAAUUUUGCACACGUGGUUGUGGGGAUGAAUUUAAAAGGUCUAAAUUUUGUUGAUCAAUUUACAAAAUACCCGUCAUAGUUUAAAUCGUGUGCAAAAUAAGUCAACGUUAUAAGUUAAUUGAUCAUAAAAAUUCAUGGGGCUGAGUACAUUUCUUUAAUCAGUAU